rnacentral:rRNA from 1 species
AUUGAACGCUGGCGGCAUGCCUUACACAUGCAAGUCGAACGGCAGCGCGGACUUCGGUCUGGCGGCGAGUGGCGAACGGGUGAGUAAUACAUCGGAACGUACCCUGUUGUGGGGGGUAACUAGUCGAAAGAUUAGCUAGUACCGCAUACGACCUGAGGGUGAAAGUGGGGGACCGCAAGGCCUCACGCAGCAGGAGCGGCCGAUGUCUGAUUAGCUAGUUGGUGGGGUAAAGGCCCACCAAGGCGACGAUCAGUAGCUGGUCUGAGGGAACGAGAAGCCACACUGGGACGGAGACGCGGCCCAGACUCCUACGGGAGGCAGCAGUGGGGAAUUUUGGAGAAUGGGGGCAACCCUGAUCCAGCAAUGCCGCGUGUGUGAAGAAGGCCUUCGGGUUGUAAAGCACUUUUGUCCGGAAAGAAAUCGCGCUGGUUAAUACCUGGCGUGGAUGACGGUACCGGAAGAAUAAGCACCGGCUAACUACGUGCCAGCAGCCGCAGUAA